rnacentral:misc_RNA from 1 species
UCCGGUUUGUCACCGGCAGUCUCGCAUGAGUCCCCAACUAAAUGCUGGCAACAUGCGACGGGGGUUGCGCUCGUUGCGGGACUUAACCCAACAUCUCACGACACGAGCUGACGACAGCCAUGCACCACCUGUCACCGCCCCCGAAGGACCUGCCGUCUCCGACAGUUUUGCGGCGAUGUCAAACCCAGGUAAGGUUCUUCGCGUUGCAUCGAAUUAAUCCGCAUGCUCCGCCGCUUGUGCGGGCCCCCGUCAAUUCCUUUGAGUUUCAGCCUUGCGGCCGUACUCCCCAGGCGGGGCACUUACUGCGUUAGCGACGGCACCGGGAGGGUCGCUCCCCCCGACGCCUAGUGCCCAUCGUUUACGGCGUGGACUAC